rnacentral:lncRNA from 1 species
GUUGACAAUGAUUUAUUUCGUGUAUAACUCAAUCGCAAAUGUACUAAAAAAUGUUAUAAAAUUGUAAAUUGGGUGGUGGGUUGAGGUAUGUCAGUUUUGAAUCAAUUUGGGUUGAGCUUAUUUUGGAUAGGAUUUUUUUUUUUUUUUUGCGUUUGGGUCCUUUUAGGUUAUAGCAUUCAAUUUGAAACUCGAGAUUUUCAUGUAAUAUAUUUAGAUCAUUUUAAGUUUUGGUCACUUCAAGUUUAAAUCAUUUUAGAUUAUUUCUUUAGGUAAUUUUAAGUUCGAACCAAAUCAAACUUGAAUCGGAUAAGUUAAAGUGUUGAAAUUUUAUGAUGAAAUCGAAUUAUUUUAAAAUAAAAAUUCAC